rnacentral:rRNA from 1 species
AAAUUGAAGAGUUUGAUCAUGGCUCAGAUUGAACGCUGGCGGCAGGCCUAACACAUGCAAGUCGAACGGUAACAGGAAGCAGCUUGCUGCUUCGCUGACGAGUGGCGGACGGGUGAGUAAUGUCUGGGAAACUGCCUGAUGGAGGGGGAUAACUACUGGAAACGGUAGCUAAUACCGCAUAAUGUCGCAAGACCAAAGAGGGGGACCUUCGGGCCUCUUGCCAUCGGAUGUGCCCAGAUGGGAUUAGCUUGUUGGUGGGGUAACGGCUCACCAAGGCGACGAUCCCUAGCUGGUCUGAGAGGAUGACCAGCCACACUGGAACUGAGACACGGUCCAGACUCCUACGGGAGGCAGCAGUGGGGAAUAUUGCACAAUGGGCGCAAGCCUGAUGCAGCCAUGCCGCGUGUAUGAAGAAGG